rnacentral:tRNA from 1 species
GCGGGAAUAGCUCAGUUGGUAGAGCGCAACCUUGCCAAGGUUGAGGUCGCGAGUUCGACACUCGUUUCCCGCUCCA